rnacentral:lncRNA from 1 species
CUCAGGAACAAGCCUGGUUUAAACAAUUCAAGUCCUUAAUCGAAAAGGUCUGUGGAAUGUUUGGAUAAUGAACUCUUGAAAAGGGUGUAAUUGCUGUCAGGUGUUUUCAGUCAGUUCAGGUGUGGCACCCCACCAUAAACAAAACUGCACAAUAUUAAUUACCUGCUGUUCAAAAGAAAUACGGGCUUAUGAAAAAUAUUUCAAAGGAGCUGAGAAGACAUUUUGGAUUGAAAGAUUUGGGCCUUCAUCAGUCUGCUGUUGUAUAUCUCACCAGAAGCAAAUACUUUGAAAGAUGCUGGGGUCACGAGGGGUCGAGUUGAAGGCCAUCAAUGUUUUGAUAGAGGAAGAGGCUUAAGGAGACUGAACCACUACUGUCGUUUCCUCUUCGGGGAAAUAAAGUACUUCAACUAUGAGGGAGAUGGGGUCGCCUCGGAGUCCAGAGAGGGCAGCACAAGUGUGGCAUUGUGGGCCAAAGGAGAGACGGCCAUUGUUCCUGCCCGCUGCCUGCCACAGCUGUGCACGAAUAAGAGCAGGGACAAACCACAACAUAUAUCAAUGUGGAGGCUGUGAGGGAUGGUCCACGGGUGUCCACACUCAAAGAAGCCUAGUGUCUUUCAACUAAAAAAUGCCAAAGGGUGCACAAAUCACUCAAGGUGACGCUUUUAUUGCUUUCAGUCCACAGGAGGAGACAAGAGAGCUAGUAAAAGGAACAGACUCCUGAGGAAUAGAAAAUGCAUUUGUGUGAGAGAUAAUAUCUGUCUAUGCACACAUGCAUACAUAGUGUAAAAAAUUUACUUCAAUAAAAAA